UUGCAUAUAAAUCAGGAAAUACAAAAAAAGAAAAAUAAGGGGAGAUACGUGGGUGGCAAAUGAGAUACGUUGGGUUUAAAAAGGUUUGAGGAAAUAUGGUGUUUCGGAGUUUUUUUUUGCUUUUGUUUUUGUUGCUCGUCAGCCCAGUUGAUUUUUUAGAAAGAGA
rnacentral:ribozyme from 14 species